GCCAGGUGUGGUGGCGCACACCUGUAAUCCCAGCUACUCAGGAGGCUGAGGCAGGAGAAUUGCUUGAACCCAGGAGGCGGAGGUUGCAGUGAGCUGAGAUCGUGCCACUGCACUCCAGCCUGGGCGACAGAGCGAGACUCUGUCUAAA
rnacentral:SRP_RNA from 1 species